GACGAACGCUGGCGGCGUGCUUAACACAUGCAAGUCGAACGGAAAGGCCCUGCUUUUGUGGGGUGCUCGAGUGGCGAACGGGUGAGUAACACGUGAGUAACCUGCCCUUGACUUUGGGAUAACUUCAGGAAACUGGGGCUAAUACCGGAUAGGAGCUCCUGCUGCAUGGUGGGGGUUGGAAAGUUUCGGCGGUUGGGGAUGGACUCGCGGCUUAUCAGCUUGUUGGUGGGGUAGUGGCUUACCAAGGCUUUGACGGGUAGCCGGCCUGAGAGGGUGACCGGCCACAUUGGGACUGAGAUACGGCCCAGACUCCUACGGGAGGCAGCAGUGGGGAAUAUUGCACAAUGGGCGGAAGCCUGAUGCAGCAACGCCGCGUGCGGGAUGACGGCCUUCGGGUUGUAAACCGCUUUCGCCUGUGACGAAGCGUGAGUGACGGUAAUGGGUAAAGAAGCACCGGCUAACUACGUGCCAGCAGCCGCGGUGAUACGUAGGGUGCGAGCGCUGUCCGGAUUUAUUGGGCGUAAAGGGCUCGUAGGUGGUUGAUCGCGUCGGAAGUGUAAUCUUGGGGCUUAACCCUGAGCGUGCUUUCGAUACGGGUUGACUUGAGGAAGGUAGGGGAGAAUGGAAUUCCUGGUGGAGCGGUGGAAUGCGCAGAUAUCAGGAGGAACACCAGUGGCGAAGGCGGUUCUCUGGGCCUUUCCUGACGCUGAGGAGCGAAAAGCGUGGGGAGCGAACAGGCUUAGAUACCCUGGUAGUCCACGCUGUAAACGGUGGGUACUAGGUGUGGGGUCCAUUCCACGGGUUCCGCGCCGUAGCUAACGCUUUAAGUACCCCGCCUGGGGAGUACGGCCGCAAGGCUAAAACUCAAAGGAAUUGACGGGGCCCCGCACAAGCGGCGGAGCAUGCGGAUUAAUUCGAUGCAACGCGUAGAACCUUACCUGGGUUUGACAUGGAUCGGGAGUGCUCAGAGAUGGGUGUGCCUCUUUUGGGGUCGGUUCACAGGUGGUGCAUGGCUGUCGUCAGCUCGUGUCGUGAGAUGUUGGGUUAAGUCCCGCAACGAGCGCAACCCUUGUUCACUGUUGCCAGCACGUUAUGGUGGGGACUCAGUGGAGACCGCCGGGGUCAACUCGGAGGAAGGUGGGGAUGACGUCAAGUCAUCAUGCCCCUUAUGUCCAGGGCUUCACGCAUGCUACAAUGGCUGGUACAGAGAGUGGCGAGCCUGUGAGGGUGAGCGAAUCUCGGAAAGCCGGUCUCAGUUCGGAUUGGGGUCUGCAACUCGACCUCAUGAAGUCGGAGUCGCUAGUAAUCGCAGAUCAGCAACGCUGCGGUGAAUACGUUCCCGGGGCU
rnacentral:rRNA from 1 species